UUCCCCAUGGCAGCGGAUUCCCCUUCCUCUUCGUCUUCUCCAAUCUCCAUCAAAUCCCACUACACAAUUACUCUGUCGAUUCAGUUGCUCUUACAAUUUGGUAGUAUUUCUCCCCGGAGCGCUUGCGAUUUGUUAAGGUAAGCGAUGGCGAGGGCGUGCCCCCUUGCAACGAGAUCCACAGGCAGUCGUCCUAGCCCUGCCUCCGGCUUCCCCGACGUAGGGGCCCCCGCCCUGGAAGAAGAGGGCCUCGCGGCGGAUGCCACUGCACCGACAUCGACCCCAACCACUCUCGGCGUUUACCUUGCCGUCGUGUGUCGGGUGCCUCGACAGAAGGCCAGGAAGGCUCCCCGUGGUGCGGCCAACCCUUCUCGGUGCCGCUCAACUUCCCCACCACGCAUCCGCUGGGCUCUCGCCUGGAUGGACGCUCUUCUCGGCAACUCAACCAUGGAGUGUACGUCGCGCCGGGGAGGUCUCCAGCUGGUGGACGUUUUUCUUUUCGGCCUCGAAGGGCUGGGCUAGUGGUGACAUCGGGUAGGGCCUCCGUUGAUAGCCAUGACUUGCAGGAGUGCUAGAUCGACGUCCUCCCGCAGGUGCCGCCUCGACUGAUUCAGAGACGACAUUGAUUGCGGCAAUGGUGGCCCUUCCUGGCAAGUGACAUUCUACUGCAGCAAUGGUGCCUUUUUUGUUUUGGGGCAAGCUGACCUCAUGCAUCUGCGCAUGAAGUUUGGCUCCUUUCUAUCAGCGAUGGAUUUGCAAGGUAUUCAGUAAUUGAUGUUUGGCGCUCCCUCUCCUAAUAAUAUCUGAGAUGGUGCUUCACUUCGUCUUCCCAUGAUCUCAGGUGGUGUGUGCUAGACGACAACCAAGUAGUCAUCUUGGUCGGCCCGAUCACUGCAUAUGCAUACUCUGCAGAUUUUUGUCUCCUACUGGUAUAUUCUUCCCAAGUUCCUCUCCAUUGCUAAUUCUGCAUUUUUGUUUGCUUCAUUCAAAUCUGAAUUAAUAUUUCUUUGAUUGGAUAUGUAAACUUGCAUUCUAUACAAGCACCCUGUGUACUGUGUGUUUGGGGGUACAUUUCUAGAGAUCGUCAUUGUUGUUAGAGAUUUCACCAGAAUACAAUACAUUUGGUUGCUGACGGAUAUCUUUUCAACAUCAUUGGCCUGCUUAAUACGUGAUAUCUUUAGUGUGAGCUUUACUUAUAUGAAUUUUGUUUUUUCAUGAAUGGCAAAUUCGAUAAUGAAACAUCUCUUUUUCAUCAGGUCACCUGUAGAAGAUUAUAACCGUUUCACAUGCCCUCUCUUUGCAUACUUUGAGGGCAUGACCAUUUGAAUUAUCGUGUAGUUUCUUUUCAGCAGUAGUAUGUACAAUUUCAAUAAUCUCAAUUUUGCUUAAAAUAAGUUCAAAACUAUAUCCAAUAAACCGUGAGAGCAUAAUGGUGCAGGCUUUGCCCAGUGUUGUCAGUUCCUUUUCGUGUCUACUAUUUGUUUCCUUGACUACAAAUUCAGAGUUCAUUUGAAAAUUCUCGUGACUGGUCUUUGUGUAAGAGCUAACAUCACCACAUCUGUCGCCAACAACACACACCACUUACAGUCUCCUUCAAGCAUGGCAUCAAUGGCAUGCCUGCCUGAUCCCACAACCGUUGUUUGCUCUCCGAUGACUUCUAAUUAAUCUGAAAAUCAGUUUUUGUUCCUUGCUCAUGCUACAACUUGGACCAUGGUAUCUGCUGACAUGAAUGUACUCCGAUUUUGGUUCUCAAGAAUUUACUAAUUGAUGCUUAUUCUAUACAUUUCUAUUUUAAAAAUUGUUGAUUCAAGCUUUAUAGGUUUCCUGAUGAUGUGUGGCAAGAAGUCUGCAAUGAACCAAAUUUGGAAUUCUUGAGAAGUAUUGAGACUAAAUUGGAGAGAGAGAACAAACUUGAUACACUUGGUAAUGUUGGUCAUCCGAAGGCUUCAGGAAUACUCCCUCAGUUCCAUAAUUAUAUAUGUAUUAUUGGACGGAGGGAGUAUCAUUUAGUGACUGGCAAAAUCUAUUGAUGCGUGUACAUAAUAUCAACAAAUGUCACUUACUCAUUUUAUUGUCAUGUAAUACUAGGACUUGUGAAUGUGCUGUAUCUAAAUGUGAUCUAUUUUGCACCAACAUCUACAUACAUCUAAAUGGCUGAGAGGAUGCAAUGUAACUGAAACCUUUAGCCUAACUUGAAGCAUGGCCAUAAAAGAUCAAUUUUUAUUAGCCA